CCUACGGGAGGCAGCAGUGAGGAAUAUUGGUCAAUGGCCGAGAGGCUGAACCAGCCAAGUCGCGUGAGGGAAGACGGCCCUACGGGUUGUAAACCUCUUUUGCCGGGGAGCAAAGCGAACCACGUGUGGUUCAUGGAGAGUACCCGAAGAAAAAGCAUCGGCUAACUCCGUGCCAGCAGCCGCGGUAAUUCGGAGGAUGCGAGCGUUAUCCGGAUUUAUUGGGGUUAAAGGGUGCGCAGGCGGAGGUGCAAGUACGCGGUCAAAUUGCGGGGCUCAACCCCGUACUGCCGUUGAAACUGCAUGCCUUGAGUGCGCGAGAAGUAUGCGGAAUGCGUGGUGUAGCGGUGAAAUGCAUAGAUAGCACGCAGAACUCCGAUUGCGAAGGCAGCAUACCGGCGCGCAACUGACGCUCAUGCACGAAAGCGUGGGUAUCGAACAGGAUUAGAUACCCCAGUAGUC
rnacentral:rRNA from 1 species